UACGUAGGGGGCAAGCGUUGUCCGGAUUUACUGGGUGUAAAGGGCGCGCAGGCGGAAUGGAAAGUCAGUGGUGAAAUCCUACAGCUUAACUGUAGAACUGCCUUUGAUACUUUCAUUCUUGAGUUCGGGAGAGAGAGACGGAAUUCCAGGUGUAGUGGUGAAAUACGUAGAUAUCUGGAAGAACACCAGUUGCGAAGGCGGUCUCUUGGUCCGAUACUGACGCUGAGGCGCGAAAGCGUGGGGAGCAAACAGGAUUAGAAACCUGGUAGUCC
rnacentral:rRNA from 1 species